rnacentral:rRNA from 1 species
AUUGAACGCUGGCGGCAUGCUUUACACAUGCAAGUCGAACGGCAGCGCGGGCUUCGGCCUGGCGGCGAGUGGCGAACGGGUGAGUAAUGCAUCGGAACGUGCCCAGUAUUGGGGGAUAGGCCGGCGAAAGCCGGAUUAAUACCGCAUACGACCUGAGGGUGAAAGGGGGGGACCGAAAGUCCUCGAGCGUUUGGAGCGGCCGAAGUGGGGUUAGCUAGUUGGUGGGGUAAAGGCUUACCAAGGCGACGAUCCGUAGCUGGUCUGAGAGGACGACCAGCCACACUGGGACUGAGACACGGCCCAGACUCCUACGGGAGGCAGCAGUGGGGAAUUUUCGACAAUGGGGGCAACCCUGAUCCAGCCAUGCCGCGUGCGGGAAGAAGGCCUUCGGGUUGUAAACCGCUUUUGUUCGGGAAGAAAACCUCUGGGCUAAUACCCCGGGGUGAUGACGGUACCGAAAGAAUAAGCACCGGCUAACUACGUG